AAACGAUUGAAGUCAGUCGUGUUGAUCAGUUUCAGCUAGUUCUGCUAGUGUAUUGCUGGUCAACGGGUCAACAUCAGUUAUAUUCGGUGGAAAAAGGCAUAGAGAAUGUAGCACCUCCGGGUGUGUUAUAGCUCUGUGUCUCAUACACUGGACGUGACUGAGGAAUGCAGCUCGCCUUUAUGGCCGGGGUUCGCCCACGUUCGAGCUUAGGAUGUUGACAUAAUGGCUUUAAACGA
rnacentral:rRNA from 1 species